CUCAGUUGCUGUUGUGUUAUAUCCAUCGGUUUCCUUUUUAAAUGUUCCAUAGUUUGCUGUCUUUUUUGCCGGCAUCGGCUCGUGUUGAUACUUCCGCUACCGGGUUAUGCGUUCCAUGUGUGGAACGUAUGCGUCAUAUUCUUCGUAUUGGAACGCAUCCCUGCGUUCCACUGUGAUCGCAAGUUAUCAAUACGCUCUUUUACAGUCGUUUUCAGAGCGUAUGAUGCU